AGUGAACGCUGGCGGUAGGCCUAACACAUGCAAGUCGAACGGCAGCACAGUAAGAGCUUGCUCUUACGGGUGGCGAGUGGCGGACGGGUGAGGAAUACAUCGGAAUCUACUUUUUCGUGGGGGAUAACGUAGGGAAACUUACGCUAAUACCGCAUACUACCUACGGGUGAAAGCAGGGGAUCUUCGGACCUUGCGCGAUUGAAUGAGCCGAUGUCGGAUUAGCUAGUUGGCGGGGUAAAGGCCCACCAAGGCGACGAUCCGUAGCUGGUCUGAGAGGAUGAUCAGCCAAACUGGAACUGAGACACGGUCCAGACUCCUACGGGAGGCAGAAGUGGGGAAUAUUGGACAAUGGGCGCAAGCCUGAUCCAGCCAUACCGCGUGGGUGAAGAAGGCCUUCGGGUUGUAAAGCCCUUUUGUUGGGAAAGAAAAGCAGCAGGUUAAUACCCCGCUGUUCUGACGGUACCCAAAGAAUAAGCACCGGCUAACUUCGUG
rnacentral:rRNA from 1 species